GACGAACGCUGGCGGCGUGCCUAACACAUGCAAGUCGAGCGAAUGAAGUUCCUUCGGGAAUGGAUUUAGCGGCGGACGGGUGAGUAACACGUGGGCAACCUGCCUCAUAGAGGGGAAUAGCCUUCCGAAAGGGAGAUUAAUACCGCAUAAGAUUGUAGUAUCGCAUGAUACAGCAAUUAAAGGAGCAAUCCGCUAUGAGAUGGGCCCGCGGCGCAUUAGCUAGUUGGUGAGGUAACGGCUCACCAAGGCGACGAUGCGUAGCCGACCUGAGAGGGUGAUCGGCCACAUUGGGACUGAGACACGGCCCAGACUCCUACGGGAAGCAGCAGUGGGGAAUAUUGCACAAUGGGGGAAACCCUGAUGCAGCAACGCCGCGUGAGUGAUGACGGCCUUCGGGUUGUAAAGCUCUGUCUUCAGGGACGAUAAUGACGGUACCUGAGGAGGAAGCCACGGCUAACUACGUG
rnacentral:rRNA from 1 species